CGUAGCGAUAACCAGUAGUAAAAGAAUCGUAGGCAGUGGAGCGGUGAUGGAUGAGUAUGACGGAUGUGAUUCAUCAUGUAACAUCUAUAACACUGAGAGAUAUGUGACUAGCUCCCGUUCGUCAAUCUAAUGUAGGCAUGUAUUCCGUAUGUAGUCAUACGUUCUUAGGGAAAAGAACUUGCAUGACAUCUAUUGUCCAUCCCUCUCGUGGCAGCAGGGCCCUAAUGGGAACUACGGGAUAUUAAGGUUCUCCUUUUAAUAAAGAACUGGACCAACGCAUUAACACGCGGUGAAUACAUGAACUCCUCAUACUAUGGUCAUCUCCGGGACUGGUUCCGGCUAUUGUCACUCCGGGGUUGCCGGGACAUAACACAUAGUAGGUGACUACAACUUGCAAUAUAGGAC
rnacentral:lncRNA from 1 species